rnacentral:misc_RNA from 1 species
UUAAAUUUUGAAGCUAUAAGGUCUAACAACCCUUCAGAAAAAGAAUCGACCGAAUCAGUCUAUUCGUUUCUAUUCACCUGAUCUACUAUCGAAUCGUAAGAUUCAGUCACGAUUUAGGUAUAUUCGCGAUUCACCCCAUAGAUUUGAAUCGCCGGGAUGGGAAAUCAAAAUGAAUCAUACGAAUUGAAUCGAGAAUCGUAAGAUUCUAACAAUAGUGCUUUAUAUAUACAUGUAUGUAUUGAUCAGUGUAAUUUAUGACAGAACUUGGUAGUCUUAACAUAGAACUGAACCUAAAAAGGUAAUUGUUGGCUAAGAAUCAGGCUAACAAAUGGACAAUUUGAAUUGUUUCAGGGGCUGUGAAGAAGAUUCGGAAGCCAAAACCUUGGAAGCAUCCUCAGCCUAUAACAAAGUCUCAGCUUAUACAGUUGCGUGAUGAGUUUUGGGAUACUGCUCCUCACUAUGGUGGAAGGAAAGAGAUUUGGGAUGCCCUUCGAGCUGCUGCUGAAGCUGACCUAACCCUUGCGCAAGCUAUUGUGGACAGUGCUGGUGUAAUUGUUCAAAAUGCUGAUUUGACAAUAUGCUAUGAUGAAAGAGGUGCGAAAUAUGAACUGCCCAAGUAUGUUUUGAGCGAGCCAACCAACUUAAUUCGAGACAAUUGAUAACAGGGAAACCAAUUAGCAGCAUUGUGCACAGAUUGAAUGUAAAUCAUCAUGUACAUUAUUACCUAUCAUACCUUUAAUAAAGGAAGGUGGGUCAUCUUAUGCCUUUGUUGAGACUUUUUUUUUUUUUAUCUGUUCUACUGUGAAAUCCUGUUGUCAACUGAACAAGACUACAGCAAUUGUUUGGAUUUAGUGAAAAAAGAUCUUAGUUUUUCCUAUCAAAACAGAAGUUAAAU